GGAGGAAAGGAACAAAAAAACAGGAACCCUAGGUGGGAAAAUUGAAGAAAAAGUGUGAGAUUUCAAGGGAUUAAGCAAUCAAAGGUAAAAUUUUUUUAUUUUGACUUGUGAUCUACCUUUCCCAUGCAUUUCUCCUUAUUUUUCAUGGUUAGAUUUCAUGUUUUCAUGGUGAAUUCAUGGCUGGUCAAAAUGGGUAUGGAGAGAGAAAGAUCUUAGAUUGAUUUGAUUUUAAGUUAUGUUAGUGUUUUUAGUUAGUUUAGCAUAUUUAGAAACAAAACAAUAAGAAAAGAAUUCAUUUUCCCCAUCAACCAUCAAUGGUCGAAUUUCCUAGAGAGGAUAUUGUGGCUGAAAUUGAUGAUAUUUUAUGAUAUUUUGGUGAUAUUUGAUGUUUGGUGAGGCUAGAAACUAAAUGGAAAAUUUUGGUGUGAAAAUCUGAAUUUUUACCUAAUGUAUAGACAUGUGUGAUUAUUGAUCCGGGACUAAUAAAUUGAAUCUCAUUCGCAGUCACUGAGGUGAUUUAGGUAUUAUUGAAGUGUAGAAAGUGAAAGAAAUUGAUUUGGAGUUAAAUUGGAAGUUUUAACCAAUUACACCGAGAAUAGUACGAAUUAGGUCGAAUACCGUAUUUAAACGGCUAUUCGGACAUUUUGCAUCACAUUUCGUGCAUUCAUAUAGAUUUAUAGAGCCUAAAAUAGUUUAUGAUAAAUUGACACAAUUUAUUAAAAUUUGUGUCACGUAUGUUGUAUAAGUAGUGAGCCAUCUAAUAAGGGUAAAGAGAUUGUGCCUGAAGACCGAGAAUAAGAGUAUAUCGAACUCCUAGUACUGUGAGCAACCUUAUCAUCAUUUUAAUUAUCUAAAGUAUGUUUUUAAUCGGUUUUGGUGGAAUUUUAUGAAAAUGAGUUUAAAUGGUAAAUUUUUGAUUUUAUAAAUAAAAUAUGUUUAAAUAAAAUGAUUUUAUAAAUUGUCUUGAAAUGAAAUAACGAUUUUGAAAAAUAGAGUAAUUGGAUACCACUGGUAUGUUGUAAAUUUAUGAUUGGAAUUGAUGGCUUAUGUUAAUGUGUUGGCAUGACUGGCUGGGCUGUGUUUUAUGAAUUAUAUGAAUUGCUUUAUUUUACCCUUGCAGGUUGGGUAGUAAUAUAUUAGCCCUGUCAUGCUGUCAAAAUUUUAUUGUAUGGUGGGUGUAGCUUACUGUAGUAGGCUGAUUUUCGUGGACUAGCCUAUUAGAGAGGCACGAUAAACCCCGUUAUAUUUUAUCUCAAUUGGAGAGGCGAGUAGGGUAACUCCCGAGGUAUAACUUUUAGAGUUCACUUCACUCCAAACCACCACUUGAGGGGGAACUCGGCCAACACCAAGGAAUGACUAUGUUUUCAAAAUAAAAACAUGAUUUAUGCGUACAUGACUUUCUAAUAGCCUUAGCGGACUCAAUUGAGAUAGCCCUCGACCAAGGUAUCCCAAAUAAUUGAGUAUGAUAAUAAUUUUUGGCAUGAGCCAAGCUUUUAAAAAAUUCAUGAGCCAUACUGAUUACUUGAUUUAAAUAAAUUGAUUUCAUUUUGUUGAAAUAAGUUGAAAGAUGAUAAAUUACAGUUUGAUGAAAUGUUUUAAUAGUCUCUUUUUACUCACCUUUAGAUAUUUUAAAUGAUAUUUGUUUACUCAUUGGGAUUUCAUAAUCUCACCAUCCUCCUUUCUACCCAUUUAAGGCUCAGAAUAGAUUGUAGAUAACUGAUAUCGGCGAGGACUACAGUUGGACUUGCCACAUCCAAAAACUGUAGGUUCAUUUCUUUUGAUACUUUUAGUUAUUCGUGGGCCCAUGUGUUACUGUAAAUUAAAUUUUAUACUUUGGUUAUCUGUAUUACAAUAUAUAUGAAUUUAUUUUACUUUUUUGCUGUAAAAAUUAAUUAUGCAAUGUUCUAAAAAUAUUGUUUUAUGAGAAAAUUGAAUAUUUUAUUCUAUAUCUUUAAUAUAUUCAAAUAGUUAUAAUUUCAUUUUAAAU
rnacentral:lncRNA from 1 species